GGUUACUGCUAUCGGGGUUCGACUGAAGCCAUGCGAGUCAAAUGUUCUUCGUGAACAUGGUGUACUGCUCAGUAACACGUGGAUAACCUACCCUUAGGACUGGGAUAACCCCGGGAAACUGGGGAUAAUCCCGGAUAAGCCAUAGACGCUGGAAUGCCCUAUGGCUCAAAGCUCCGGCGCCUAAGGAUGGGUCUGCGGUCUAUCAGGUUGUAGUGGGUGUAACGUACCUACUAGCCGACGACGGUGACGGGUUGUGAGAGCAAGAGCCCGGAGAUGGAUUCUGAGACACGAAUCCAGGCCCUGACGGGGUGCAGCAGGUCGCGAAAACUUUACAAUGCGGGAAACCGCGAUAAGGGAACCCCGAGUGCCAGCACCAAGUGUUGGCUGUCCAGAUGAUUAAAACUCAUCUGAUAGCAAGGGCCGGGCAAGACCGGUGCCAGCCGCCGCGGUAACACCGGCGGCCCGAGUGGUAACCGUUUUUAUUGGGUCUAAAGGGUCCGUAGCCGGUCUGACAAGUCUCUUGGGAAAUCUGGCAGCUUAACUGUCAGGCUUCUAAGGGAUACUGUCAGGCUUGGGACCGGGAGAGGUAAGGGGUACUCCAGGGGUAGGAGUGAAAUCUUGUAAUCCUUGGGGGACCAUCUGUGGCGAAGGCGCCUUACCAGAACGGGUCCGACGGUGAGGGACGAAAGCUAGGGGAGCAAACCGGAUUAGAUACCCGGGUAGUCCUAGCUGUAAACGAUGCUCGCUAGGUGUCGAGCACGGUGCGUCCGUGUUCGGUGCCGCAGGGAAGCCGUGAAGCGAGCCACCUGGGAAGUACGGUCGCAAGGCUGAAACUUAAAGGAAUUGGCGGGGGGGCACUACAACGGGUGGAGCCUGCGGUUUAAUUGGAUUCAACGCCGGAAAACUCACCGGGUGCGACAGCAAUAUGUGGGUCAGGCUGAAGGUCUUACCUGAAUCGCUGAGAGGAGGUGCAUGGCCGUCGUCAGUUCGUACUGUGAAGCAUCCUGUUAAGUCAGGCAACGAGCGAGACCCGCGCCCACAGUUGCCAGCAUGUUCUCCGGAACGAUGGGCACACUGUGGGGACCGCCGCUGCUAAAGCGGAGGAAGGAACGGGCUACGGUAGGUCAGUAUGCCCCGAAUCUCCCGGGCUACACGCGGGCUACAAUGGUUGGGACAAUGGGCACCUACCCCGAAAGGGGACGGUAAUCUCCGAAACCCAACCGUAGUUCGGAUUGAGGGCUGUAACUCGCCCUCAUGAAGCUGGAAUCCGUAGUAAUCGCGUUUCAACAUAGCGCGGUGAAUACGUCCCUGCUCCUUGCACACACCGCCCGUCAAACCAUGCGAGUGAGGUCUGGGUGAGGGCGUGCCUCUAACACGUUCGAACCUGGGCUUCGCAAGUGGGGUU
rnacentral:rRNA from 1 species